GAUGAACGCUGGCGUCGUGCCUAAUACAUGCAAGUCGAGCGAACAGACGAGGAGCUUGCUCCUCUGACGUUAGCGGCGGACGGGUGAGUAACACGUGGAUAACCUACCUAUAAGACUGGGAUAACUUCGGGAAACCGGAGCUAAUACCGGAUAAUAUAUUGAACCGCAUGGUUCAAUAGUGAAAGACGGUUUUGCUGUCACUUAUAGAUGGAUCCGCGCCGCAUUAGCUAGUUGGUAAGGUAACGGCUUACCAAGGCGACGAUGCGUAGCCGACCUGAGAGGGUGCUCGGCCACACUGGAACUGAGACACGGUCCAGACUCCUACGGGAGGCAGCAGUAGGGAAUCUUCCGCAAUGGGCGAAAGCCUGACGGAGCAACGCCGCGUGAGUGAUGAAGGUCUUCGGAUCGUAAAACUCUGUUAUUAGGGAAGAACAAAUGUGUAAGUAACUAUGCACGUCUUGACGGUACCUAAUCAGAAAGCCACGGCUAACUACGUG
rnacentral:rRNA from 1 species